rnacentral:rRNA from 1 species
GAAAUCUUGACAGAACCCUUCGGGGCGAAGAUAAGAUGGAUUAGCGGCGGACGGGUGAGUAACACGUGAGUAACCUGCCUUAGACAUUGGGAUAGCCUCGGGAAACCGGGAUUAAUACCAAAUGAAAUCACAUAUGCACAUGCAUAAAUGAUCAAAACUCCGGUGGUCUAAGAUGGACUCGCGUCCCAUUAGCUAGUUGGUGAGGUAACGGCCCACCAAGGCGACGAUGGGUAGCCGGCCUGAGAGGGUGAACGGCCACAUUGGAACUGAGAAACGGUCCAAACUCCUACGGGAGGCAGCAGUGGGGAAUAUUGCACAAUGGAGGGAACUCUGAUGCAGCGACGCCGCGUGAACGAAGAAGGCUUUCGAGUCGUAAAGUUCUUUUAUGUGGGAAGAUAAUGACGGUACCAUAAGAAAAAGCCCCGGCUAACUACGUGCCAGCAGCCGCGGUAAUACGUAGGGGGCUAGCGUUGUCCGGAAUCACUGGGCGUAAAGGGUUCGCAGGCGGAAAUGCAAGUCAGGUGUAAAAGGCAGUAGCUUAACUACUGUAAGCAUUUGAAACUGCAUAUCUUGAGAAGAGUAGAGGUAAGUGGAAUUUUUAGUGUAGCGGUGAAAUGCGUAGAUAUUAAAAAGAAUACCGGUGGCGAAGGCGACUUACUGGGCUCAUUCUGACGCUGAGGAACGAAAGCGUGGGUAGCAAACAGGAUUAGAUACCCUGGUAGUCCACGCUGUAAACGAUGAGUGCUAGGUAUCGGAAAAAUUCGGUGCCGCAGUUAACACAUUAAGCACUCCGCCUGGGGAGUACGUGCGCAAGCAU